GGCGCAAUAGCUCAGUGGUAGAGCACGUGCUUAGCAUGCACAAGGUCCUGGGUUCUACCCCCUGUACCUCCA
rnacentral:tRNA from 1 species